UCGAGAAUCUUCGGCAAUGGGCGAAAGCCUGACCGAGCGACGCCGCGUGCGGGAAGAAGGCCUUAGGGUUGUAAACCGCUUUUGGAGGGGAGGAACUUUUGUGACUGUACCCUCAGAAUAAGAGGGGGCUAACUCUGUGCCAGCAGCAGCGGUAAUACAGAGCCCUCAAACGUUAUCCGGAUUUAUUGGGCGUAAAGAGCUUUAAGGCGGUUUGGAAAGUCCUUGAUUAAAGUUCUGGGGCUUAACCUCAGAAAUGUUAGGGAAACUUCCAAACUAGAGGAUGUCAGGGGUGAGCGGAACAGCUGGUGUAGGGGUGAAAUCCGUUGAUAUCAGCUGGAACACCAAAAGCGAAGGCAGCUCACUGGGGCAAUCCUGACGCUGUACAGCGAAAGCUAGGGGAGCAAAAAGG
rnacentral:rRNA from 1 species